CUAAUUUGCCGUGAAAGCUGUGCUGUAAACAGAGCAUGACAGCUGGAGUCACUCAGCUCUUCCCUUCGCCCAUCAGUACACACACGAAGCAGGCUGUUUUGAGCACAUUUCUCUCAAAAGCCACACAAACACACAGAGUUGCAGUAAUAUGAAUCAGUGUUUGGCACCUCUUCUUGUGAAAAGAGGAGUAUCUGAGGAAAGCCAUAAUCCACUAUUCCCUCCUAACGAUGCCUCUGUGUGUGUUUGUGUUAAGUUCUGUGCUGCUGGAUGUUGAGGCUUGUUUGUGUUGGCCCGGACCCAGUGUCUUAUCAAGACUGAAAAUGAAUUUUUGCUUCAUCGUUGGAUUGCCCUCAUUUUUAAUCUUCUUUUCUUCCUUUCCAACAGACAAUCUGCUCCACUGGCACACAUUAAACUCUGCUGUCACCCAUCCCCAUAAAGAGACACUCUUAGCUGAGACACCUGUAAAAUGCAUGCAGUACGACAGAGCUGAGGGAAAAUGUGUGUUGCGCUUAAACAGCACAUGGCCAUAAGUCACACAGCUCUCCUUUUGCCCCUGAUGUGUUGGCCCUUCCUAAACUUUCUGGGAUUGCUUUGCCCGGCUUCAGAGAGAUUCCCGUCCGAGACAGAGCAGGUUGACAUGCCACUUCUUCACGCUUCUCACUUUGGACUUGAAAGCACCUCCAGAUAUAGUUUCAAGGACCCGCAUGGAGGAUCUUUGACCACGCACUUUCUAAUUCAAACAAAUGAGAGCACGGGACAGCCGCGGAAGGGCUUAUCUCUCACCCACAAGGUGUUUCAGACGAGACACGAAUGGCCCGCUGAUAAAAACUCAUCGCUUUGAGUGGACUGUUUGAGUUUGAUGGGAGAAAACAGAGACAUAAUCAUCAGGAAAAUGAUUGCAUAGAAAUAAUCCCAUGUAUUCACCAUGAUUAUUACUGAAAAAAAAUGGUGUAGAAAUAAUUUUCACCUAAAAAUUACUUUAAAGGACAAGCAACAAAUUGAAUUGAACAUGAAAUCUUCAAGUAAAAAGAUUUAAACUGUAUUUCCAUAUAAAAUACUCCAAUAAUUUUCUGUUUUAUUGUUUUUUUAUUGUUACUUGAAGUAUGUUGACUGAAAAAAAAAAUUAUAUAUAUAUAUAUAUAUAUAUAUAUAUUAAAAAGCUUAUUAUAUUUUAGUUAGUCGCUUGGGAAAUCAUUUCUCAUUUUCAUUUAGUUAAACCAGACAUGACACGAAAUAAAAUAAAAUAAAAUAAAAUAAAAUAAAAUAAA
ensembl:lncRNA